GACCUACAAAACUAGGGCUUUAAGCGCCAGAGUUCAUAAAGUAUUUAAGGACGACAAAAAAAAUCAUGUCUCUUCGGUAUAGUGGUUGUAGGUUCUAUGGUAUUUGUCUUGCUGGUGGAAGGUUCGAGCUCAGUUUUCUUUUGUUAAUUUGUUUUUUCCCUUUUUUUGGGGAUAACAAAUGAGAUGUGGUCGCAAUCUCAGUUGAGAUACGAUAGUUUUGACUAAAAAAAUACUAUCGGGCUAAAAAAUCUCUUAGUUAUUUCAUUUUUUACAUUUUAGUUUCUUUUAAAAAAACAACUUUGUUUCUUUUAUAUAUAAAAAUACUUUUGUUUUCAGCAUUUUGUGAAAAAAUAGUAUCUUUUGUUAUUCACUUAUUUGAUUGUUAUUUCCGCUGAAAUAUUGUUUCUUCCAAUCUUCCAUGUAAAAUUAUUUUUCUUCUCUUUAUUUUUUUGUAAAUUUUACUAUCUAUUUUAAGAUUUCAGAAAUCUGAAGAAACAUAUAUCAUAAAUUAACUUAUGCUUUUUCACAAAUUUCCAGAAAAUCAAUAAAAUUAUGCAAGUUAAAAUAAUAGGAUUCGAUUAAAUUAUAAAUUUCCUUAAAUUAGCAUUUCUCUGGUAGAAAACUAAUAAGAAAUUAUCCAUGUUUGAGUAUUGCUUAGAGCCAACUUCUCUCAUAUCUCUAUAUGUGAUAGAGCAAUCUCCAAUAAGCAUCUCAAAUCUUCUAUACCCUCAUUGCUUUAAUGAAAUAUGAAAACCCGAUUUUGCCCUAUUUUAUUUUCGAAAUUAUUAUUUUCUAAAAUAAAUAAUAAUCUCAAAUUUUCAAAUUUUCAAAAUUUCAAAAUUUUGAAUUUUUAAAAUUUCAAGUUUCGGAUACUACAUUGUAUCGUAUAGUUUUACUUAAUUGUACUUAGUUCUAGUAGGUAAUACUGAUGUUAGUUAUACUGAAUUAUACUUGGUUAUACUGAGUUAUACUGAGUACUACUGAGGUGUAGUUAUACCGAGUUCUACUAAGUUAUACUAGUUAUACUUGUAAUACUGCGUACUACUAGGGAGUUAGAUAUACCUAGUUAUACUAGUUACAUUGAGUUUUACUAGUUAUACUGAGUCAUAUUUAUAAUACUGCGUACUACUAAUGUGUUAGGUAUAUAUCAUAAACAAUGUUAUACUAGUUAUACUGAGUACUACUAAAAUCAGAUCUGAGAUCUGAGAUCUGAAGAUGAAAUAAAUAAAAAAACAUGAAAAAUGUCUUAAAAGAGAGAACAAGAACAAGAAGAAACCUAAAUCACAAAAAUGCCAGAAUAUUCUUUAACAACCCUAAAUUGAAAACAUACAUAACAAAAAGAAAUAUAAUCCAAUCACUUCUGGAGCCAUUGAUGAACUCAUACAAAAGUCGUAAUCUUACAAUAAAACUCUAUAUAAAAAAACACAGAUAUGGAGCACAUAGUACGAGAAGAAGAAGAAUCGCCAUUGGUGUUGUUUCCAUAACCUUCGACAGUUGUUUCAUCACUUACAGCAAAUCUGAUUUGAUAUUUUGUAGAGAAAAAAAGAAAGAAGAGAUAAAGAACGAGAGAAGUCGCAGAGAAAAGAGAGGAAAAGAAGAAAAGAAAGAAGAAAA